UUCUGUGACGUCAUUUAGUCCUUUUUAGAAUUUCAUCGCAGCAAGCAAGCUGUUUAAAUUUUGUAAGCGGUAAACUUGAAAAUUGAAAUGGUAAAGUAAACUAGUGUAAGAAUUUGUAUGGUUAUAACCUGACUCAUGCUUCUAAUGUUUAUUAGAAGUAAUCUUAGAAAGAAUUCGUUUUAUCGAUCGUCAUUUUUUGAACCAUAUUGCAUCGCCACGUGGAGAGCACAUGUAAAGACUGAAUGAGAAAUUGGUCCCAUGAAUGGAUUAUUCGUUUUCAUUUUUAUAAUUAUUUAAUUUUUACAAGUGUGAGUAAUUAGAUGCAACAUUGUCCUAAGAUUUGCAGAUUAUAAUCAUGUUUACCAUGCGUCAUUGUAUAUUUCUACAUAAAAUUAGAUGCACGACGAGUUUAAUUUGUUUUUAUUUUAAUUUUUUUAUAUAUUACUUUUUCCCCAUAUCUUAUACUAUUGAAAUUGAGUAUUGACAGAUCGUCUAGUGCCUAUGGUGUCAGUGCUAUGGGUAAGCCUAACAAAUUGUAUUUGCGCUGUAACAGAUCAUGCAGGUUAGUAACGUGUCUUUAAUGAUUAUGUGUUGUGGGGCAGGUGUUAUUUAAUGAACUCCCGAAAACUUCCGAAUUAAAAGUAAAUUUUCCUUAAGAGGGUAUACAUCGGUAAUUGUGUAUCUAGAUCUUUCAUAGCACAUAUACAGCAAAUAUUCCAUGAAAGGAUAUGAACGUAAAAGGGACGUACUCUUUGGGGCGAAGGACCCAGGUUCGUAACCGGAAGUUCAACUUUCGAUACAAAUAAACAAAAAUCUUGGAAAUCUUGAACAGAGACCAUACCCGGAGUUAAGAAGCAGUUGGUAGAUUUAAGCAAAUAUUAUCAUUAUCUGUAUAUAUCCGGCUAUAAAUUUUGCGUGUACCUACACAUUUGUGUACUAAAAAUUGUCAAGAGUCGUUCAUCACAGUGACAUGUAUACAUUUUUUAGUUGCUACUACUCUCUAGCCUAGACUAGGUCGAUAUGGUAUGAAUAGUUCAGUUAAAUCAAGAAUUUAGCCAUAUGUAAACAGGCCACAGCUUGAAUUAUUGUUGUAAUAACUCAAUUAUAUACUAAUAUUACACUAUGUUACUAUCAACUGACUAUGGAUUUAAGUUUAAUAAAUAUAUAAAUC
rnacentral:lncRNA from 1 species